rnacentral:lncRNA from 1 species
UUCUUUCAUGAUGUAAAGUUGUAAAUAGUUGCUUGUGGGAGAUUGGAAAUGGAACGAAGAUGGUUACAUACCAAGAACUGGAACAAACUGUGUUGUUCUACUCUCUGUUUUUGUUUCCUUAAGAACUAACUACAGUGUCUUGGUCUUUCUGGUUGACCUGGCAUUGUACAGAUAAAACCAUGAAGCAUGUAAAAUUGCUAAUCAGUGUGCCAGUAUGUCAUUGUAAAUGGAUAUCCCCAUAUUGAAAGGGAACGAGGAAGCAGAAUCCUACCCCGCUAGAAAGUAGAUUUUGCUAAAACUGAAUCACUAUUUCUUCUCUCUUGAUACAAAGGAAACACAGCACUCCUGCAUAUUCGAGGAAAAAAAACCGAAUCACUGCCCACCGAAUGUCAACUAAAACACAAUCAAAAUUGUUGAACUUAACGCCAAACCUUAGCUAAA